UCAGGUUGACCACGGCUGUGGACUUGCCUCCAGAGUUCAUCCACCUUUACAUCUCCAACUGCAUCUCGACCUGUGAGCAGAUCAAAGACAAGUACAUGCAGAACCGGUUGGUGCGCCUGGUGUGCGUGUUCCUUCAGUCUCUGAUCCGUAACAAGAUCAUCAACGUUCAGGACCUGUUCAUCGAGGUCCAGGCCUUCUGCAUCGAGUUCAGCCGUAUACGCGAAGCGGCUGGACUCUUUCGCCUCCUCAAGAGUCUGGACACCGGGGACGGCGGACCCCCCGACACCAAGACCACCAAAUAACGACGGCGUUCACCACAAAAUACUGUAAAUAGUUUUACUUCUUUCAGUGCAAAAUUAUUCAAAUAAAACCUUUUUGGGCGCGAACUCUGA